CUAGUACUGCACUGAUCCUUCUUUGAUGGUUGAUCAGGUGCCUCCUUCUUCUUGAUUUGGACUCUUCCAAAGAUGAAAAGUAGAAGGAGGAGUUUCAGAUCUGAGAUGCUCUCAGAAAACUCAAGAUGGAGGGAGGAAAGAUAUGAAAACAAACAACCCUAGAAGAAGAUCCUCUUCUUCUUCUCGUUUCUCUCUCUAGACACCCUAACUUGUGUCUUUUAUAUCUCCACGACCCAAAGAUCUUUCUCUCUGAUUUUUGGAUGGCCCAAAGGUCUCUCAAAUCUCUAUCUUCUUCAAAAAUUUUAUGAAGAAACUCAUUUUAUACAGAGAGAUAUGAUAGAGUCCUUGUCUAGGUCAAAUACCUAGUCAAGGCUUAUCCAAACAUGGCAAGUUAAGGGGUGCCC
rnacentral:lncRNA from 1 species